rnacentral:rRNA from 1 species
CCUACGUGUGGCAGCAGUGGGGAAUAUUGCACCAUGUGGGAAACCCUGAUGCAGCAACGCCGCGUGAGUGAAGAAGUAUUUCGGUAUGUAAAGCUCUAUCCGCAGGGAAGAAAAUGACGGUACCUGAGGCAGCAGCCCCGGCUAACUACGUGCCAGCAGCCGCGGUAAUACGUAGGGCGCCAGAGUUAUCCGGAUUUACUGGGUGUAAAGGGAGCGUAGACGGCGAUGCAAGUCUGAAGUGAAAGCCCGGGGCGCAACCCCGGGAAUGCUUUGGAAACUGUAUGGCUGGAGUGCUGGAGAGGCAAGCGGAAUUCCUAGUGUAGCGGUGAAAUGCGUAGAUAUUAGGAAGAACACCAGUGGCGAAGGCGGCUUGCUGGACAGUAACUGACGUUGAGGCUCGAAAGCGUGGGGAGCAAACAGGAUUAGAUACCCGUGUAGUC